rnacentral:rRNA from 1 species
AUUGAACGCUGGCGGCAGGCCUAACACAUGCAAGUCGAACGAGUGGCGGACGGGUGAGUAAUGUCUGGGAAACUGCCUGAUGGAGGGGGAUAACUACUGGAAACGGUAGCUAAUACCGCAUACCCUCGGAUGUGCCCAGAUGGGAUUAGCUAGUAGGUGGGGUAAAGGCUCACCUAGGCGACGAGCCCUAGCUGGCCUGAGAGGAUGACCGGCAAAACGGGAACUGGGACACGGCCCAGACUCCUACGGGAGGAAGAAGUGGGGAAUAUUGCACAAGGGGCGCAAUCCUGAUGAAGCCAGGCCGCGUGUAUGAAGCAGGCCUUCGGGUUGUAAAGUACUUUCAGCGGGGAGGCGUUACCCGCAGAAGAAGCACCGGCUAACUCCGUGCCAGCAGCCGCGGUAAUUC